ACAAACUUGGUCAUUUAGAGGAAGUAAAAGUCGUAACAAGGUUUCCGUAGGUGAACCUGCGGAAGGAUCAUUAAAAGAUGUGUGUCGGCACUUAGUCGAACCUAUUCUUUUGUGAAAAUAAUGAUAUAAAUUAUUGUAUUUGGGGAUUAAAAAGGUUUUAGCAAUUUGCUUAGCUUUUUUGCUUAGCUUUUUGCUAGAACGGCCCCAAAUCAAACUUUUAAUAACCACUUAUUUCUUAUUGACUGACUGUUAUUUCAAUAUAAUAAUUGAUAAAAUAACUUUCAACAACGGAUCUCUUGGUUCUCGCAUCGAUGAAGAACGCAGC
rnacentral:misc_RNA from 1 species